GUGUCAGCAGCCGCGGUAAUACGGAGGGGGCAAGCGUUGUUCGGAAUUAUUGGGCGUAAAGCGUAUGUAGGCGGCCGAUUAAGUCAGGCGUGCAAGCCCGUGGCUCAACCACGGAAUUGCGUUUGAAACUGGUCGGCUUGAGUAUAGAAGAGGAAAGCGGAAUUCCCAGUGUAGCGGUGAAAUGCAUUGAUAUUGGGAAGAACAUCUGUGGCGAAGGCGGCUUUCUGGUCUGUUACUGACGCUGAGAUACGAAAGCCAGGGGAGCGAACGGGAUUAGAUACCCCGGUAGUCCUGGCUGUAAACGAUGGGCACUAGGUGCAGGAGGUAUCGAUCCCCUCUGUGCCGUAGCUAACGCAUUAAGUGCCCCGCCUGGGGAGUACGGUCGCAAGGCUGAA
rnacentral:rRNA from 1 species